rnacentral:misc_RNA from 1 species
UGAACCAGAGUAUUGGAAAUUUGGCGAGGCAGGAAACAAGUACUUCCGCCAUGCUACUGGACAGCUAUAUGCCAUUUCAAAAGAUUUGGCUACAUAUAUAUCAAUAAACCAGUAAGUUCCAUUUCAGUUGAAUGUAAGAUGGAGUAAACAUGGGUGCAGUCCGGGUUUGGACCAUAACCGUUUUGACAGGAUCCAAACUGGACCAGACCGAUUUUGACCGGUUCAGUCUGGUUCUGGAUCAAACAUCAGAUUAUAUAUUAAAUUGACCUUCGGAUUUGAUCAAACUGGAUUGCAAUUGAAACCAAAACCCUUCAGUCCAAUCCCGGCUCCCCAGCCCUUAGGACUGAAACUGCUGGUCUGGCCGGAUUGCUCCCAUGUCUUAUGAGUGAAUCUGAAGGUCUGCCUAUUUGGUUUUGUGUUCUUGCGUUGUGAUGGGUAUUGUGGACAUAAUUAUCUCAGGCAUGUUCUGCA